UUAUGUAUACACACCAUAACACUCAUACAAACAUGCAUGAAUUAAAGCACACCGAAUUCAGAGACAAAUGUAAAUGUGUAAAUACAGGAGGAGCUCUGACAUCACUGUAGAGAAAGUGAAACUAACUUGAUCAACAACAAUAUGGACACCUGAAACGAUCAACUUCUCUAAACAACAGAAUAUUUACUGAGCCGUUCAAAGAGACUUGUGAUACUCACAGUCUCUACAGAGCUGAAGAGGAUGCAGCAGUAUGCAGUGGAUGUGACUCUGAAUCCUGAUACAGCUCAUCCAAACCUCAUCCUGUCUGAUGAUGGAAAACAAGUGAGAUGUGGAGACAUUAAGCAGAAACUCCCAGACAAACCAGAGAGAUUUGAUCCAUGUAUACGUGUCCUGGGAAAGGAGAGAUUCUCCUCAGGGAGAUUUUAUUUUGAGGUGCAGGUGAAGGAAAAGACUGAAUGGACUUUAGGAGUGGCCAGAGAAUCCAUUAUCAGGAAGGGAUUGAUCACACUGAGUCCCAGUAAUGGAUACUGGACUGUGGUUCUGAGGAAUGAGAAUGAAUAUGAAGCCUUUGCUGGUCCUCCUGUCUCUCUGUCUCUGAGCGUGAAGCCGCAGCGGGUCGGUGUGUUUGUGGAUUAUGAGGAGGGUCUGGUCUCCUUUUAUGAUGUGGAGUCCAGCUCUCAUAUCUACUCUUUCACUGGUCAGUCUUUCACUCGCAAACUCUGUCCAUAUUUUAGCCCAGGCCUUAAUGAUGGAGGUAAAAACUCGACUCCACUGAUCAUCACACCUGUCAAUCACAAUAAAUGAAUUCAUACCCCUAAUAUGAAAUACUUGAUGAAAAUAAUGCUGUAUGUGUCAUGACUUCGGUCUGAUUUGCCCAGUUUUGUUGUCUUGUCCUGUGUCUGCGUGCCCUGUUGUCUUCAUGCUGAUCUGUUGUUUUGACAGCUCUCCAUGUGCUCUGCUGUCAGUGUGGCGUUUUUCCCCUCCCACUCGUUACCUUAUCUUCUAUUGUGUUCUCUGUCACACCUGUUGCCACUUAUCCCUCAUUAGCUUUCCCCUAUAUUAGAUCCUCUUGUGCUCAGUCUUUUGUCAGACCGUUGUUGUAUGUUUGAGCCAACGCUUCGCUCUUGACCUUCUCUUGUUUGUCUUGUCUUGCUGUAUCGUGUAUUUAGACUCCAAGUGCUGCUUUGUUUUAUUUAUUUUGUUUUGAUCAGUUGUUUCUCAUUCUGCCAGACAUUUUUGUUCUUCUCCCUGCCCUGACUAUCUUUGUGUCAGUUGAGACUUGGAUGUAUCGCUCCAGCCCCUCUCAGCAAUCUCAACGCUCUCUCCUGGAGAAUUGGUGAGAUUUCGACGCUGCGUCACUGUCAACGCUCUGGGCAGAGUGACUUCCACGCUGCGUCACAAGCGACGCUAGGACCUUGUUUUGGACAUUCUCUCUCUUUUGUUUGUUUUCUUUUUCCCCCUGCGCUCAGUGAGAGCAAAAAUAAACUUUUCUGUUACCUGCAACUGAAUCCGUGUUAUUGCCUGACAGUAUGUAAUUAAUGUUUAAAAACACUAAAAUGUAUGUGUUAACUCAAAGGAUGAGAAUCAUUUGUUUUUGCUGCUUGGUUUACAUCAAUGUGAUUUUUUGGUUUUGUACUUUUAAUUGAUUGAUUGUUGUUUCUGUUUUAUUGUGUCCGAUAUUAACCCUACAUAAUUAUCUCACCAUAUGUAGCAGAUAUCACAACGAUUAAUUGAGUGUGACACUUUUGGUGCUUUUCCACUGUGCUGUAUGGCUCGGUUUGCUUUUCCACUGCCGUUAGUACUGAUUUGUACUAUGCAGUGGAAAAGAGCCAUUAAUGUCCCCCUGCAGUCAAUAAUUUGAUCCCUCAAAACUCAUCUUUGAUCACCAAAAUGACAUAUUUAAACAUAUUUUAUCUUGAAAUGCCUUAAAAUAGCCUGAAUGUAACUCUACACCCUUGCCUCAUUUAGUGUAUGGGGAUCUAUGAAUAUGCUAAUAAAGCGCUAUAGAAAUAA